UCAUCUGCUGCAUAACCAUCCA
rnacentral:miRNA from 1 species